UGGGGAAUAUUGCACAAUGGGCGAAAGCCUGAUGCAGCGACGCCGCGUGAGGGACGAAGGUCUUCGGAUUGUAAACCUCUUUCAGCAGGGACGAAGCGAAAGUGACUGUACCUGCAGAAGAAGCACCGGCUAACUACGUGCCAGCAGCCGCGGUAAUACGUAGGGUGCAAGCGUUGUCCGGAUUUAUUGGGCGUAAAGAGCUCGUAGGCGGUUCGUCACGUCGGAUGUGAAAACCUGGGGCUUAACCCCGGGCCUGCAUACGAUACGGGCGAACUAGAGUUCGGUAGGGGAAACUGGAAUUCCUGGUGUAGCGGUGAAAUGCGCAGAUAUCGGGAGGAACACCAGUGGCGAAGGCGGCCAUCUGGACCAGUACUGACGCUGAGGCACGAAAGCGUGGGGAGCAAACA
rnacentral:rRNA from 1 species